UGGGACACAAAAUGUUUUUUGGUGAAUCUAAAUUUGGAAUAAUGAAGCAUCACAUGAAUAGGUCAACAAGUAACAAAGAUCUCAAAAACUCUAAUGUUCUAAAGAACUAAAUAGAACAAUACUAUGAACAGAAGCAACUGCUACGAAGACCACAGCAGGUGGAAUAAUUUUCUUUUUGAUUUAUAAUAAUAUUCAUUUGUAUGAUGUAAUUAUGACAAUUUUGGUAAAGUCAAUGCAGGUGGCCAUAUUGGCCAAUUAUUGUGCGUGGGCGUGUUCUCUCAGAAAAUAAAUCUUGAUAACUAA